rnacentral:rRNA from 1 species
CCUACGGGAGGCAGCAGUGGGGAAUUUUGGACAAUGGGCGCAAGCCUGAUCCAGCAAUGCCGCGUGAGUGAAGAAGGCCUUCGGGUUGUAAAGCUCUUUUGUCAGGGAAGAAACGGUGAGAGCUAAUAUCUCUUGCUAAUGACGGUACCUGAAGAAUAAGCACCGGCUAACUACGUGCCAGCAGCCGCGGUAAUACGUAGGGUGCAAGCGUUAAUCGGAAUUACUGGGCGUAAAGCGUGCGCAGGCGGUUUUGUAAGUCUGUCGUGAAAUCCCCGGGCUCAACCUGGGAAUUGCGAUGGAGACUGCAAGGCUAGAAUCUGGCAGAGGGGGGUAGAAUUCCACGUGUAGCAGUGAAAUGCGUAGAGAUGUGGAGGAACACCGAUGGCGAAGGCAGCCCCCUGGGUCAAGAUUGACGCUCAUGCACGAAAGCGUGGGGAGCAAACAGGAUUAGAUACCCUGGUAGUCCACGCCCUAAACGAUGUCCACUAGUUGUCGGGUUUUAAUAACUUGGUAACGCAGCUACGCGUGAAGUAGACCGCCUGGGGUAAGGUACGGUCGCGAGUAGUUAAACGUUACGAAGAAGUUAGAGGCGNGAGAGNGCGACGGACGACGACGAGGGAGGAGG